rnacentral:rRNA from 1 species
CAAGUCGAACGGUAACAGGUCUUCGGAUGCUGACGAGUGGCGAACGGGUGAGUAAUACAUCGGAACGUGCCCGAUCGUGGGGGAUAACGAAGCGAAAGCUUUGCUAAUACCGCAUAAGAUCUACGGAUGAAAGCAGGGGACCGCAAGGCCUUGCGCGAACGGAGCGGCCGAUGGCAGAUUAGGUAGUUGGUGGGAUAAAAGCUUACCAAGCCGACGAUCUGUAGCUGGUCUGAGAGGACGACCAGCCACACUGGGACUGAGACACGGCCCAGACUCCUACGGGAGGCAGCAGAAGGG